rnacentral:rRNA from 1 species
GACGAACGCUGGCGGCGUGCCUAAUACAUGCAAGUCGAACGAGUGGCGGACGGGUGCGUAAUGUCUGGGAAACUGCCUGAUGGAGGGGGAUAACUACUGGAAACGGUAGCUAAUACCGCAUACCAUCAGAUGUUCCCCGAUUGGAUGAGCUGGUUGGUGGGGGAACGGCUCACCAAGGCGACGAUCCCUAGCUGGUCGGCGAGGAUGACCAGCCACACUGGAACUGAGACACGGUCCAGACUCCUACGGGAGGCAGCAGUGGGGAAUGUUUCACAAUGGGCGCAAGCCUGAUGCAGCCAUUACGCGUGUAUGAAGAAGGCCUUCGGGUUGUAAAGUACUUUCAGCGGGGAUGCGUUACCCGCAGAAGAAGCACCGGCUAACUCCGUGCCAGCAGCCGCGGUAAUUC